CUCUCCAUACUCCAACAAUCUAUGUCAUACAUUUUGGUUUUUGCCUACAAAUUUCAACAAACAUUUAACUUGCAACUUACCAUAUCAUUGACUAAAAUAUCCAAACAAAACUGAUAAUUCUUGUCCAAGCAGUCCAGCAGGCAGCAACAUUAACAAACUAGUCGAGUAUAAGAAUAAAAAGACUAUCAAGAGUCAAGACAACAACACUAGAAAAUUCAACAAACUUGUGCACAUCCCUAAAAUAGAG
rnacentral:lncRNA from 1 species